AUACGUAGGUGGCAAGCGUUAUCCGGAUUUAUUGGGCGUAAAGCGAGCGCAGGCGGUUUUUUAAGUCUGAUGUGAAAACCUUCGGCUUAACCGGAGAAGUGCAUCGGAAACUGGGAGACUUGAGUGCAGAAGAGGAGAGUGGAACUCCAUGUGUAGCGGUGAAAUGCGUAGAUAUAUGGAAGAACACCAGUGGCGAAGGCGGCUCUCUGGUCUGUAACUGACGCUGAGGCCCGAAAGCGUGGGUAGC
rnacentral:rRNA from 1 species